AUUGAACGCUGGCGGCAGGCCUAACACAUGCAAGUCGAGCGGAUGAAGGGAGCUUGCUCCUGGAUUCAGCGGCGGACGGGUGAGUAAUGCCUAGGAAUCUGCCUGGUAGUGGGGGAUAACGUCCGGAAACGGGCGCUAAUACCGCAUACGUCCUGAGGGAGAAAGUGGGGGAGCUUCGGACCUCACGCUAUCAGAUGAGCCUAGGUCGGAUUAGCUAGUUGGUGGGGUAAAGGCAUACCAAGGCGACGAUCCGUAACUGGUCUGAGAGGAUGAUCAGUCACACUGGAACUGAGACACGGUCCAGACUCCUACGGGAGGCAGCAGUGGGGAAUAUUGGACAAUGGGCGAAAGCCUGAUCCAGCCAUGCCGCGUGUGUGAAGAAGGUCUUCGGAUUGUAAAGCCCUUUAAGUUGGGAGGAAGGGCAGUAAGUUAAUACCUCGCUGUUUUGACGUUACCAACAGAAUAAGCACCGGCUAACUUCGUG
rnacentral:rRNA from 1 species